rnacentral:rRNA from 1 species
GCUUUACGACCCUAAACACAGAUAAUUACAAUAAAACAAAUUAUUUGCCAGAGUACUACCAGCAACAGCUUAAACUCAAGGACUUGGCGGUGCUUUAUAUCCUUC